ACUGAACAGGUUUCCGGAUUCC
rnacentral:miRNA from 1 species